UACAGAGGCCUCAAGCGUUGUUCGGAUUCAUUGGGCGUAAAGGGUGCGUAGGUGGCUUGUUAAGUUGAAGGUGAAAUCUCGGGGCUCAACUCCGAAACUGCCUUCAAUACUGGCGAGCUCGAGGAUUGUAGAGGAGAAUGGAAUUCACGGUGUAGCAGUGAAAUGCGUAGAUAUCGUGAGGAAGACCAGUGGCGAAGGCGAUUCUCUGGGCAAUUCCUGACACUGAGGCACGAAGACCAGGGGAGCAAACGGG
rnacentral:rRNA from 1 species